rnacentral:rRNA from 1 species
UACGUAGGGUGCGAGCGUUGUCCGGAAUUAUUGGGCGUAAAGAGCUCGUAGGCGGUGUGUCACGUCGGCCGUGAAAACCUGCAGCUUAACUGUGGGCGUGCGGUCGAUACGGGCAUCACUGGAGUUCGGCAGGGGAGACUGGAAUUCCUGGUGUAGCGGUGAAAUGCGCAGAUAUCAGGAGGAACACCGGUGGCGAAGGCGGGUCUCUGGGCAUCUCCUGACGCUGAGGCGCGAAAGCCAGGGGAGCGAACGGG